GUUUGCAACUGUUAGUUUUCUUCUUUAGUUUGAGAACUGUAGUUGUUGUUGGGUUCCAAUGGUCUAGUCACUUACUGCUUGAAAGCUGAUAGCUUUUUUUGAUAAGCCAAGUAAGGAGUUUUAUUUAUGUAACAGAAAACACACUGAAGUACUAGAGCUGAGCCAGAAUACACCAAGGGGGAACAAAAAAAACAACCACCUUGAAAAAUAAGAGCAUACAGGUAGAGAAAAGUCAAGCAAGGCUGCCAGAAAAACUCCUAGCUGCCAUACUGAACCGUGAAGAAAGAGAAUGGAAAAAGAAACCAGAACGCAGCUCUUAUAACAACAUGAAAGACGAAAGAGCCCAAACAGAAG
rnacentral:misc_RNA from 1 species